ensembl:snRNA U1 U1 spliceosomal RNA
AUACUUACGUGGUAGAGAGAUACCAUGGAGAAAGGUGGUUUUCUCCAGGGCUAGGCUCAUCCAUUGCGUUCCAGAUAUGCGGAACCCUGCGAUUUCCUCAAAUGUGGGAAACUAACUGUGAAUAUUUUUCAUAUAGUUCACC